CCUACGGGUGGCUGCAGUGGGGAAUAUUGGACAAUGGGGGGAACCCUGAUCCAGCCAUGCCGCGUGUGUGAAGAAGGCCCUCGGGUUGUAAAGCACUUUCAGUGAGGAAGAACGCCUGGUGGUUAAUACCCAUCAGGAAAGACAUCACUCACAGAAGAAGCACCGGCUAACUCCGUGCCAGCAGCCGCGGUAAUACGGAGGGUGCGAGCGUUAAUCGGAAUUACUGGGCGUAAAGCGCGCGUAGGUGGCUUGAUAAGCCGGUUGUGAAAGCCCCGGGCUCAACCUGGGAACGGCAUCCGGAACUGUCAAGCUAGAGUGCAGGAGAGGAAGGUAGAAUUCCCGGUGUAGCGGGGAAAUGCGUAGAGAUCGGGAGGAAUACCAGUGGCGAAGGCGGCCUUCUGGACUGACACUGACACUGAGGUGCGAAAGCGUGGGUAGCAAACAGGAUUAGAUACCCGGGUAGUC
rnacentral:rRNA from 1 species